rnacentral:rRNA from 1 species
GAGUUUGAUCGUGGCUCAGGACGAACGCUGGCGGCGUGCUUAACACAUGCAGGUCGAGCGGUAAGGCCUUUCGGGGUACACGAGCGGCGAACGGGUGAGUAACACGUGGGUGAUCUGCCCUGCACUUCGGGAUAAGCCUGGGGAAACUGGGUCUAAUACCGGAUAUGACCUCCUAUCGCAUGGUGGGUGGUGGAAAGAUUUAUCGGUGCAGGAUGGGCCCGCGGCCUAUCAGCUUGUUGGUGGGGUAAUGGCCUACCAAGGCGACGACGGGUAGCCGACCUGAGAGGGUGACCGGCCACACUGGGACUGAGACACGGCCCAGACUCCUACGGGAGGCAGCAGUGGGGAAUAUUGCACAAUGGGCGAAAGCCUGAUGCAGCGACGCCGCGUGAGGGAUGACGGCCUCGGUUGUAACCGUAC